rnacentral:rRNA from 1 species
ACCCGUCUUUUGACACGGACCAAGGAGUUUAGCAUAUGCGCGAGUCAUUGGGUGGUAAACCUAAAGGCGAAAUGAAAGUAAAGGUGGCUUUAGUGCUGUUGAUAUGGGAUCUGCAGGCUGCCUGCAGCGCACCAUAGCCCCGUCCUUGUUGCUUGCAAUAGGGCGGAGGUAGAGCGCAUACGCUGAGACCCGAAAGAUGGUGAACUAUGCCUGAGCAGGAUGAAGCCAGAGGAAACUCUGGUGGAAGUCCGAAGCGGUCUGACGGC